rnacentral:rRNA from 1 species
GACGAACGCUGGCGGCGUGCUUAACACAUGCAAGUCGAACGGAAAGGCCCUGCUUGCAGGGUACUCGAGUGGCGAACGGGUGAGUAACACGUGGGUGAUCUGCCCUGCACUUCGGGAUAAGCCGGGGAAACUGGGUCUAAUACCGGAUAGGAGCCAUUUUUAGUGUGAUGGUUGGAAAGUUUUUUCGGUGUAGGAUGAGCUCGCGGCCUAUCAGCUUGUUGGUGGGGUAAUGGCCUACCAAGGCGGCGACGGGUAGCCGGCCUGAGAGGGUGGACGGCCACAUUGGGACUGAGAUACGGCCCAGACUCCUACGGGAGGCAGCAGUGGGGAAGAUUGCACAAUGGGCGCAAGCCUGAUGCAGCGACGCCGCGUGGGGGAUGACGGCCUUCGGGUUGUAAACUCCUUUCGCUAGGGACGAAGCUUUUUGUGACGGUACCUAGAGAAGAAGCACCGGCUAACUACGUG